AUAAGCUUCCUCUCUCUUUAUCUUUCUCUCCCUUCCACCGAUGGGAAGCUCUCUCUCUUCCUUUCCUCUCUCUCUCUCUCUCUCUCGGCUUCGGUCGAUUCGCUGUCAUUCCGGUGACUAUGGGCCACAUGUGUUAGCCAUGAGGGAAGCCCACCUUACGGUGGCAUGGGCCCUCAAAUUUCCUGAUCAACUAUUGCCGGAAGUGCCUAGAUCAGGCUGGCAAAGUUGGGGGUGGUGAGUUUCCUUUUUCCAGUGAUUCUGUCGUUCUUCAGCAUACCCAACCCGUUUUGAUACCUUACCCCUUCUAUUUUGGACCUUCUGAUCCAAAUAUGACCUUCAUUUACCCAGAUUCUAGAUCAUUUGAGAUAUACACGGAAUUGAAAUUCGAUCGAGAUAUCGAUUGGACUCGUGGCAAAAUUUGUAAUAGAGCAAGAAUGGACAACAUCAUUAGAGUGAGUGGUCAUUUUCAAUUUAUUUUUGGAUUAUUGUUUGCAUACACUUUAUGUUAUUUAAGAUUCCAAAAAUAUUAUGUAUGUUUUAAAAAUUAAUUAAUUAAUUAAAAAUUGUUAUUAAAUUUUAUUGUACCAUUUUAUUUGAUUUAUGUAUAUUUGUUAUAUAAAAUUUAUUAUAUGGUUUUGGAGAAAUUAUUAAUGAUUAUUUAUUGUUGAAUUUAUUAUUAAAUUUUACUGUCAUAUUUAGUUUGCAUAAUAAAAUGUAUUUAUGUAAAAUCAAGUUAGAUGUAAAUUUUAUGUGAUUUAAUCUAAAGUUGUAGAAACAAAUUUUAAGGAUUUAAGAAGAAUAAUAUUUUUUAGUGUACAAAAUAUAUUUUUAUAUUUGGAUAAUAGUGGAAUUGGAAUUAUUUUGAUAACAAUUAAUUUUAUAAAAUUGUUGGAUUUUUAUGGUUGUUUAAAAAAAAAAACAUAAAAUUUUAUGGGUUUGGUAAAACUAUAUAAACCCAGUUGUAUUUUAUUAAAUUUUGGUAUUUAUAAUAUUAUAAAAUUUUAUACUUUUUACUUGUAGCAUACAGUACUUAUAUUUUGUACUACAGUAUUGACUAAGCAUGCAAGUAUAUAUGGUUAUCCUAUAGAAGCUGUAGACCUGAGAGUUGGUAAAUAUAAUUGCACCAUGAGUAUCAGUUGCCCCCCUCUUUGGCCGCAGGAUGAUUGUUUAUUAUAUUAUGGUUAUCCCGUGGGAGCCAUAGACUUAAGGGUUAGCAAAUAUAUUUGUACAAUGAGUAUCAACCGCCCCUCUCCUUGACCAUAUAAUGGUUGUUUAUUAUGUUAUGGAUCAACAAGUUAUACUCAUGGUCAUCCUUAUGAGUUGUAUUGAGAGAGGAUAGCAGAUAUAAUGCAGAGUGAGCACCAGUCAUCUUCCCCCUUGGCCGUGGAAUGGUUGUCAUUGUGGAUUAGUGUGCAUAUAUGUAUGGCUAUUCUAUGGGAGUUAUGGGCUCGAGAUAUGACAUGGAUAGUGCAUAGUGAGCAUCAGUGACCUUCUCAGUAAAAGGAUGAUUGUUUUACCCAUAACAACUUAUUAGCAAUUGGAGCCGUGGGUUUCCAAAGUGACCGAUUGUAAGUUUCUUUCUUUAACCUCCCUGUCAGAUACUGCUCGAGAUGCCAGAUAUUGUUCGAUAACACUGGUAUAUCAUAUGGUGCAUCAAGUAUAUUUUUUUAAAUAUAUAUGUAUAUAUUUUUUAAUAUAUAUAUGUAUAUAUAUA